GUGUCAGCCGCCGCGGUAAGACGAAGGAUGCAAGCGUUAUCCGGAUUCAUUGGGUUUAAAGGGAGCGUAGGUGGUCUUAUAAGUCAGUGGUGAAAUCUCGCAGCUUAACUGCGAAAUUGCCAUUGAUACUGUAGGACUUGAGUACAGUUGCCGUUGGCGGAAUAUGACAUGUAGUGGUGAAAUACAUAGAGAUGUCAUAGAACACCGAUUGCGAAGGCAGCUAACGAAACUGUAACUGACACUGAGGCUCGAAAGUGUGGGGAUCAAACAGGAUUAGAAACCCGGGUAGUCC
rnacentral:rRNA from 1 species